UGGGUUUGACAUACACCGGAUUGCCUCAGAGAUGGGGUUUUCUUCGGACUGGUGUACAGGUGGUGCAUGGCUGUCGUCAGCUCGUGUCGUGAGAUGUUGGGUUAAGUCCCGCAACGAGCGCAACCCUUGUCCUGUGUUGCCAGCAUUGGGUUGGGGACUCGCAGGAGACUGCCGGGGUAACUCGGAGGAAGGUGGGGAUGACGUCAAGUCAUCAUGCCCCUUAUGCCCAGGGCUUCACA
rnacentral:rRNA from 1 species